GCUAGGAACAGCGUUUCAGCCUGCGGUACUUUGAUUCUGUACUGCAAUCCUUUAUCUGCUCUGCCAAGUACUGAAGCAAACAAAUAAACUUUAAUUCACAAAAUUGGAUUCUACUGUUUUAAUACAAUAACCGCCUUUUCUCCAACGUCAGCUGAACACGCAAGGAUAUUAAGAGAAGAGUUCUGCGACGUUUAUUGUACAAAUAGUCAAGUAGGUUUGGAUAUUUGCAAUGAAUUUAGAUUCCAGAUAAAUUUAAAAAGUGUUUAGAUACUUCUAGUUAUAUUAACGCCGUAGUAUGAUAUAAUACGUGACGAUAUAACUAGCUAUAAAACACGUGGUCAUAUAAUGCGUGCUGAUGUAUGAUACAAUAUUAAAAAUUCACCUAUUAUUAUACAAGGGAGUUACGAACAUGUACUCAAGUCGACGAUUUGUUGUAUUUCCAAUUGUUCCACGUUUCCCAGAAAGUGGCUUCCUGAGAGUGCAU